CGUAGGGUGCAAGCGUUAAUCGGAAUUACUGGGCGUAAAGCGUGCGCAGGCGGUUGUUUAAGUCAGCUGUGAAAUCCCCGGGCUUAACCUGGGAAUGGCAGUUGAGACUGGACGGCUAGAGUGUGUCAGAGGGGGUAGAAUUCCACGUGUAGCAGUGAAAUGCGUAGAGAUGUGGAGGAAUACCGAUGGCGAAGGCAGCCCCCUGGGAUAACACUGACGCUCAUGCACGAAAGCGUGGGGAGCAAACAGGAUUAGAUACCCUGGUAGUCCACGCCCUAAACGAUGUCAACUAGUUGUCGGGACUUAAUUGUCUUGGUAACGCAGCUAACGCGUGAAGUUGACCGCCUGGGGAGUACGGUCGCAAGAUUA
rnacentral:rRNA from 1 species